rnacentral:rRNA from 1 species
GACGAACGCUGGCGGCGUGCUUAACACAUGCAAGUCACGGGGGCCCAAGGCGCAAGCCGUGGGUAACCGGCGAACGGGUGCGUAACACGUGAGUGACCUGCCGAUUUGUGGGGGAUAGCCGGGCCAACGCCCGGGUAAUACCGCAUACGCUCUUCUUGGGGCAUCUCUAGAAGAGGAAACCUCCGGGGCAAAUCGAGGGACUCGCGGCCUAUCAGCUAGUUGGCGAGGUAACGGCUCACCAAGGCUACGACGGGUAGCUGGUCUGAGAGGAUGGCCAGCCACAUUGGGACUGAGAUACGGCCCAGACUCCUACGGGAGGCAGCAGUGGGGAAUAUUGCGCAAUGGCCUAACGGCUGACGCAGCGACGCCGCGUGUGGGAUGACGCCCUUCGGGGUGUAAACCACUGUUGCUCGAGACGAAUAGCGAGCUUUAGCUCGCCUGACGGUAUCGAGUGAGGAAGCA